UCCUCUUGCCUAUGAGUGAUGUCUCCGUCAUCCCUAGAUUUGGAGAUUGGUUGAUGUAGAAACAGCAUACUUCUUGGAGGAACAGGCAAAGACCACCUUCUUUAGCUGUCAGGACAUCCAGCCCCAUCCGUUCUGAAGUACCACAGCUGCCAAAGAAACGUUGUUUCUAGAUGAUCCAGCAGACCGGAUGGUACCUGAGGUGUCACUGGCAGAUAAAGAUGCUGUUUGGAGCUUCUGGCAGGCCCCUGUAGAUGAAUCACAGAAGAGACCUUUGAGAUUUUUGGAGCAAAGCUCUACCAUCUGCAGACCACUAUUCUCCCUUUGAAAAACAGCUUUUGGCCUGCUAUUGUGCCUUAGUGGAAACUGAACUUUUGACAAUAGGACACCAAUUUACCAUGCAACCUGAACUGCCUACCAUGAACUGGGUGUCCUAAAGUAGGAUGUACAAAGCAGCAUUCUCUUAUCAAAUGGAAGUGGUAUAUAUGUGAUUGGGCCCAAGUAGGUCCUGAAGGCACAAGAAAGCUAUAUGAAGAAGUUGUUCAAAUACCUGGGAUUUUUUUUCUCC
rnacentral:sRNA from 1 species